CCUACGGGUGGCUGCAGUGGGGAAUCUUGCACAAUGGGCGAAAGCCUGAUGCAGCAACGCCGCGUGACGGAAGAAGGGUUUCGGCUCGUAAACUUCUAUCAACAGGGACGAAAGAAAUGACGGUACCUGAAUAAGAAGCCCCGGCUAACUACGUGACAGCCGCCGCGGUAAUACGUAGGGGGCAAGCGUUAUCCGGAAUUACUGGGUGUAAAGGGUGAGUGGGCGGGAUGGUAAGCCAGAUUUUAAAGCCUUGGGCUUAACCCGAGGAUUGCAUUUGAACCUAGCAAGCUAGAGGACAGGAGAGGAAAGCGGAAUUCCUAGUGUAGCGGUGAAAGGCGUAGAUAUUAGGAAGAACACCAGUGGCGAAGGCGGCUUUCUGGACUGAAACUGACGCUGAGGCACGAAAGCGUGGGGAGCGAACAGGAUUAGAUACCCUAGUAGUC
rnacentral:rRNA from 1 species